rnacentral:tRNA from 1 species
UGUCUUGUAGCUCAGCGGUAGUAGCGAUCGCCUGUUAAGCGAGAGGUCGUGGGUUCGAUCCCCACCAAGGCAGCCA